rnacentral:rRNA from 1 species
GACGAACGCUGGCGGCGUGCCUAAUACAUGCAAGUAGAACGCACAGUUUAUACCGUAGCUUGCUACACCAUAGACUGUGAGUUGCGAACGGGUGAGUAACGCGUAGGUAACCUGCCUGGUAGCGGGGGAUAACUAUUGGAAACGAUAGCUAAUACCGCAUAAUAUUAAUUAUUGCAUGAUAAUUAAUUGAAAGGUGCAAUUGCACCACUACCAGAUGGACCUGCGUUGUAUUAGCUAGUAGGUGAGGUAACGGCUCACCUAGGCGACGAUACAUAGCCGACCUGCGAGGGUGAGCGGCCACACUGGGACUGAGACACGGCCCAGACGCCUACGGGAGGCAGCAGUAGGGAAUCGUCGGCAAUGGACGAAAGACUGACCGAGCAACGCCGCGUGAGUGAAGAAGGUUUUCGGAUCGUAAAGCUCGGUUGUAAGAGAAGAACGGGUGUGAGAGUGGAAAGUUCACACUGUGACGGUAACUUACCAGAAAGGGACGGCUAACUACGUG